rnacentral:lncRNA from 13 species
GAGUUUCCCUAGGCCCCUGGGUGUCUACCAGUGGGAAGUUGUGGUGAGGCACCCCACAGGUAUUGCUGUUGCCUUAGUCUGUGUGUGAGUGUGUGUGUGUGUGUGUGGCAGGGGAGUCUUGGGCAUGUGGGAAGGAGGAGGCUUCCCAGGCUAGGGCCCUCCUUGCAGCUGGGUCUCCUCUGCCAGCUUUGCUGAUUUAUCUGUCUUUCAGUGGAAUGGGGUAUCUCAGGCCCAGCAAGGAAAGGCAGUGCCUUCCCCAUCCACCCUGCUGCUUGUUUACUACAGGGACCAAAAUCAAUCCCAUCCAGGUGGUGUCAGAGGCACUUCCACAGAGUCCAAAGGAGGACAGGGUCUAGCCUGGCCACCCCGUGCCGCUGAGCGAGGGGCUAAGUGAGGGUUAUGGAGGCUCUGGGUCUUGGUUUCCUUCUCCUGGUUGGGGGGAACAUGAGAGACCAAACCAGCUUGCCUCUCCUUACCAUCUCACUUGUCUCUUGCAUCUUUUCUAGAAUUUAUAGCUAUGCUUAGCACAGAAGAAAGAACAGGGAGACAUGGGGCUAACCCAUCUGAUCUGGAGCCAACGUCUGCACAUUUGAUAAGGUUUGGUUCUGUGUCCCCACCCAAAUCUCGUGUUGAAUUGUAAUUCCCGGUGUUGGAGGAGGGGCCUGCUGGGAGGUGAUUGAAUCACGAAGGUGCACCUCCCCCAUGCUGGUCUCCUGAUGGAGUUCUCGGGACAUCUGGUUGUCUGAAAGGAUGCAGCAUUUCCCGUUCCCUCUCUCUCCUCCUGGCCAUACGUUAGUCACCGAGCGCCACGUCAUCCACAUUUAUGGCCCAACGACAGUGACUGGGGGAAACAGCAAGGACACCAAUACGGUCACAUUUCAAGCGGAGAAAUUACAGCCACUUCCGGCAGUGGGUGCUUCAGGGCUUCCCACUGACGCCACAGCCAGGAAAGUGUCCUCACACCAACCAGGUCUGCGCGAAGGGGCUUGGGACUCCAGGCCCCACGGGCAGGUGGUCCAAGAAGAGACAGGUGAGUGGGCUCGGGUGCAGACCUCCCAAGAACAGACUGUGAAAAAUCC